AACGAACGCUGGCGGCGUGCUUAACACAUGCAAGUCGAGCGGUGAAGGCGGAGCUUGCUCUGCCGGAUCAGUGGCGAACGGGUGAGUAACACGUGGGCAACCUGCCCCUCACUUCGGGAUAACUCCGGGAAACCGGGGCUAAUACCGGAUACGACCUCCUUGGGCAUCUUUGGAGGUGGAAAGUUUUUCGGUGAGGGAUGGGCCCGCGGCCUAUCAGCUUGUUGGUGAGGUAGUGGCUCACCAAGGCGACGACGGGUAGCCGGCCUGAGAGGGCGACCGGCCACACUGGGACUGAGACACGGCCCAGACUCCUACGGGAGGCAGCAGUGGGGAAUAUUGCGCAAUGGGCGAAAGCCUGACGCAGCAACGCCGCGUGCGGGAUGAAGGCCUUCGGGUUGUAAACCGCUUUCAGCAGGGAAGAAGCCGCAAGGUGACGGUACCUGCAGAAGAAGCACCGGCUAACUACGUGCCAGCCGCCGCGGUAA
rnacentral:rRNA from 1 species